GGGUUGUGAGGUUAAGCGACUAAGCGUACACGGUGGAUGCCCUGGCAGUCAGAGGCGAUGAAGGACGUGCUAAUCUGCGAUAAGCGCCGGUAAGGUGAUAUGAACCGUUAUAACCGGCGAUUUCCGAAUGGGGAAACCCAGUGUGACUCGUCACACUAUCAUUAACUGAAUCCAUAGGUUAAUGAGGCGAACCGGGGGAACUGAAACAUCUAAGUACCCCGAGGAAAAGAAAUCAACCGAGAUUCCCCCAGUAGCGGCGAGCGAACGGGGAUGAGCCCAGAGCCUGAAUCAGCAUGUGUGUUAGUGGAAGCGUCUGGAAAGGCGCGCGAUACAGGGUGACAGCCCCGUACACAAAAGCGCAUAUGCUGUGAGCUCGAUGAGUAGGGCGGGACACGUGGUAUCCUGUCUGAAUAUGGGGGGACCAUCCUCCAAGGCUAAAUACUCCUGACUGACCGAUAGUGAACCAGUACCGUGAGGGAAAGGCGAAAAGAACCCCGGCGAGGGGAGUGAAAAAGAACCUGAAACCGUGUACGUACAAGCAGUGGGAGCCCCACCACUAAGCCAGUGGUGAACUCCACAUACGCAUCCUUUGCUGAGGAUGCGGUUAACGGAGCGAAAGCGACGUUCAACC
rnacentral:rRNA from 3 species